rnacentral:rRNA from 1 species
UACGGGGGGGGCAAGCGUUGUUCGGAAUUACUGGGCGUAAAGGGCUCGUAGGCGGCCAACUAAGUCAGACGUGAAGUCCCUCGGCUUAACCGGGGAACUGCAUCUGAUACUGGAUGGCUUGAGUUUGGGAGAGGGAUGCGGAAUUCCAGGUGUAGCGGUGAAAUGCGUAGAUAUCUGGAGGAACACCGGUGGCGAAGGCGGCAUCCUGGACCGGUAUUGACGCUGAGGCGCGAAAGCGUGGGGAGCAAACAGG